GCCUCUGAUGCAGAGUCUGGAGUGUCAUCCCUGGGAACUGGCAUGAAUAAAAUAGGCCAGGAAGGUCUGCGUGCCUUCCAACCUUAAUGCAGCUCUGUGCUGCACGACUUAAAGGCAGAGCACCUGCCGUCACAGUCCUUAGUGGACUGGCCUUUAUCUCAGGUGAGUGGGGCCUUUCUGGUUGGGUGUCUUGCUGACAGGUGUGCAGGGAGAGAUGAGAGCCUGGCCCAUGGGUGAAUGAUUGCUGUUCAUCCAUGGAAUUCAUUUUCCUAUUUGAAAUGCCGCAUAAUCGGGUGGCGGAUAGAGCGCUGAAUUGGAAAUCCAGGAUACGCAGACUUUGUGAGGACCCUGCUGCUGAUACUUAGAGUGGUCCAGCAGUGGUGGCUUCCUGUGCCUGGGAACUCAUGUGGAAAGACCUAGCAAGGACACUGAGAAGCUACAUCUCAUUCUGCAGUCCUAGCACCAGUAAAUGUCUGAGGAAUGAAUAAGAGAGCGUGUGCAUGCUCUGAAGUCUGGACAACCACCUAUUUUCAGUUUGAAAACAUAACAGAGUUCUCGGGACUUGAAAUGUUUACCUUAGACUUGCCAGAAGCUUCUCUCUUGCCUGUUGACCGUGCAUCUCCAUUGUGUCCCGGAUGCCAAUGCUGUUGUCAGAUUUGUUUCUCGUAUUGUCCCAACAUCCCAAACUCGGAACCUUUCAACCGACCUGUCUGCCUUCUCCCUGUGCCCCAAAGUUGUUGCUGCAAGUCCUUUACAAUCAAGGCCACCACCAUAGAGUGAUUCUAGAAGAUGGCUCUGAGCUCACUUUAUCCAUUCAACUCCUGAUACCCUGGAAACUACGAAAUCAAGACGCAAAGGAAGACACCAUCUGCAAGAUGAACAAGGGUGCUCCUGCAAGAAGGCCCAGCACUCAGGUUGACCUCACUGUCUGUUCUGCGUCUGUGACCCUGUUCACUAGGUGACCUCUUCCCCUGCAGAACGGUGUUUAAGUGUCAGUUUUGUGAAGAAAGAAUGGCCGGUAAGAGUGGAAGCUUACGAUCUCAUGCUGCUAAUUGCUGCGUUACAACUCAUUCUUCUGGGACUCGGGCUGGACGUACACAUGUGUGCAUCACCCAUGGUGAUCACAUCAUCUCAUUUUGAAAACUCCAUGAGUUGGAGAAAACUUUAUUUUUUAGAUGAGGAACCUGCAGCCAGGAGGUUUCGCAAUUUGCUCAAGCUCACAUACCAAGUGAGGGUGAGGGCUGAGACCCAGAAUGGGUCGGUCUUACGUUCAAAGAACAGGUGCCCUUGACUCUAUGUUCCUUGGUCUGUAGUUCUGAAAUCCUGAGGUUUUACACUAAGC
rnacentral:lncRNA from 1 species